rnacentral:rRNA from 1 species
GGCACUUCAAGAUAUCCAGAGGAGUUGGCAAUAGUUCUCGCGGAUGAUCAAACUAAUGCCAAUCGGGAAGAUGAUGGCCAUACCCCUAUAGAAGACGAUGUUGACAACAUGGAUGAUACCAAUGUGAGUGAUCAUGAGCCCAUAUUUAAUUCAUCUGUGGCAGAAUCUGCUAGUGUUGAUGAGGAACCGGUUAUUAUUGUGGAUAUUUAUGAUCCAAGCAAUUGGGGUAGUCUUGAUAACAAAGCGAGGGACAUAUUAGUGGAAAACAGGCCUAAAAGGGAAGAAGAAGAAGAAAACACUAAAUAUCCUUUGGAUGAAACUUUAAGACAUUUUUCGUAUAGCCAUUACUCAAGAAAAUGA